rnacentral:rRNA from 1 species
UACGUAUGGUGCAAGCGUUAUCCGGAUUUACUGGGUGUAAAGGGAGCGCAGGCGGUGCGGCAAGUCUGAUGUGAAAGCCCGGGGCUCAACCCCGGUACUGCAUUGGAAACUGUCGUACUAGAGUGUCGGAGGGGUAAGUGGAAUUCCUAGUGUAGCGGUGAAAUGCGUAGAUAUUAGGAGGAACACCAGUGGCGAAGGCGACUUACUGGACGAUAACUGACGCUGAGGCUCGAAAGCGUGGGGAGCAAACAGG